AGGGCAGCGUCGACUCGUCUCCACAACCGUCGUCCUGGGCAGAUUGCUGCUCCCCCCGCCCGCUCCCCAUCUCUCCCCCGUCGCGGCUGACCCCACGAC
rnacentral:ribozyme from 1 species